AUUCUGUGCACAAGUGCAGAGAAGGCGUGCGCGCUGCCUCGGGACUCAGACCACCGGUCUCUUCCUUGGGGAAGUGGGGAUUUCUUGGAGCGAGUUACAUUCUCUGAAUUUAGAGGCGGAGGGCGGCGUGCCUGGGCUGAGUUCCCAGAAGGAGAUUGCGCCCGCUUUAACUUCGGGGAUAAGCGCCUGGUGACUGUUCUUGACGUUGGAUAUACACUUCAGAUAACUACACCGAGGAAAUGGGCUCAGGGGACUAUGACUCCAUAAAGGAACCCUGCUUCCGUGAAGAAAAUGCUAAUUUCAAUAAGAUCUUCCUGCCCACCAUCUACUCCAUCAUCUUCUUGACUGGCAUUGUGGGCAAUGGAUUGGUCAUCCUGGUCAUGGGUUACCAGAAGAAACUGAGAAGCAUGACGGACAAGUACAGGCUGCACCUGUCAGUGGCCGACCUCCUCUUUGUCAUCACGCUUCCCUUCUGGGCAGUUGAUGCCGUGGCAAACUGGUACUUUGGGAACUUCCUAUGCAAGGCAGUCCAUGUCAUCUACACAGUCAACCUCUACAGCAGCGUCCUCAUCCUGGCCUUCAUCAGUCUGGACCGCUACCUGGCCAUCGUCCACGCCACCAACAGUCAGAGGCCAAGGAAGCUGUUGGCUGAAAAGGUGGUCUAUGUUGGCGUCUGGAUCCCUGCCCUCCUGCUGACUAUUCCCGACUUCAUCUUUGCCAACGUCAGUGAGGCAGAUGACAGAUAUAUCUGUGACCGCUUCUACCCCAAUGACUUGUGGGUGGUUGUGUUCCAGUUUCAGCACAUCAUGGUUGGCCUUAUCCUGCCUGGUAUUGUCAUCCUGUCCUGCUAUUGCAUUAUCAUCUCCAAGCUGUCACACUCCAAGGGCCACCAGAAGCGCAAGGCCCUCAAGACCACAGUCAUCCUCAUCCUGGCUUUCUUUGCCUGCUGGCUGCCUUACUACAUUGGGAUCAGCAUCGACUCCUUCAUCCUCCUGGAAAUCAUCAAGCAAGGGUGUGAGUUUGAGAACACUGUGCACAAGUGGAUUUCCAUCACCGAGGCCCUAGCUUUCUUCCACUGUUGUCUGAACCCCAUCCUCUAUGCUUUCCUUGGAGCCAAAUUUAAAACCUCUGCCCAGCACGCACUCACCUCUGUGAGCAGAGGGUCCAGCCUCAAGAUCCUCUCCAAAGGAAAGCGAGGUGGACAUUCAUCUGUUUCCACUGAGUCUGAGUCUUCAAGUUUUCACUCCAGCUAACACAGAUGUAAAAGACUUUUUUUUAUACGAUAAAGAACUUUAAGUUACACAUUUUUCAGAUAUAAAAGACUGACCAAUAUUGUACAGUUUUUAUUGCUUGUUGGAUUUUUGUCUUGUGUUUCUUUAGUUUUUGUGAAGUUUAAUUGACUUAUUUAUAUAAAUUUUUUUUGUUUCAUAUUGAUGUGUGUCUAGGCAGGACCUGUGGCCAAGUUCUUAGUUGCUGUAUG
rnacentral:sRNA from 1 species